UUAUUAAAAUGGCAGCACAUAUACUAAAAAUGGAAUGAUACAGAAAAGAUUAUUAUGGCCCCUGUGCAAGGAUGACAUGCAAAUUCCUGAAGCGUUUCAUAUUUUU